CGGCUCAGACAAACUCACUGAUUUGCGAUCUGGUCACACUGGCGUUGCUCUAUCUAAGAUUUUACAUGUCUGCACGAUACCAGCAGGGAAGAGCGGUUCCAGUUCAGAGAGACCAUUGUGAAGCAUACCUUAUGUGUUUAAAGCACUUUAUAAAUGGUUUUACAGUGCAUCUCUGCCCACACAAUACCUUCUGUGAUCCUCACAACAACCCUGUGAGGUGAACACAUCAAAAACAUCCUUGCUGAAGAACAGCCUCCUUUAGAAUGGUAUCUUUGGCUAAAAAUGGAGCCCAAGGGCUUUGCCAAAACCUGGAGUUAAUCUCCCUUCAUAAAUGACACUCU